rnacentral:sRNA from 1 species
AAAAAAAGAAGGAAAAAAA